rnacentral:rRNA from 1 species
UUUUAUUUGAGAGUUUGAUCCUGGCUCAGGAUGAACGCUGGCGGCGUGCCUAACACAUGCAAGUUGAGCGAUUUACUUCGGUAAAGAGCGGCGGACGGGUGAGUAACGCGUGGGUAACCUACCCUGUACACACGGAUAACAUACCGAAAGGUAUGCUAAUACGGGAUAAUAUAUUUGAGAGGCAUCUCUUGAAUAUCAAAGGUGAGCCAGUACAGGAUGGACCCGCGUCUGAUUAGCUAGUUGGUAAGGUAACGGCUUACCAAGGCGACGAUCAGUAGCCGACCUGAGAGGGUGAUCGGCCACAUUGGAACUGAGACACGGUCCAAACUCCUACGGGAGGCAGCAGUGGGGAAUAUUGCACAAUGGGCGAAAGCCUGAUGCAGCAACGCCGCGUGAGUGAUGAAGGCCUUCGGGUCGUAAAACUCUGUCCUCAAGGAAGAUAAUGACGGUACUUGAGGAGGAAGCCCCGGCUAACUACGUGCCAGCAGCCGCGGUAAUACGUAGGGGGCUAGCGUUAUCCGGAUUUACUGGGCGUAAAGGGUGCGUAGGCGGUCUUUCAAGUCAGGAGUGAAAGGCUACGGCUCAACCGUAGUAAGCUCUUGAAACUGGGAGACUUGAGUGCAGGAGAGGAGAGUGGAAUUCCUAGUGUAGCGGUGAAAUGCGUAGAUAUUAGGAGGAACACCAGUUGCGAAGGCGGCUCUCUGGACUGUAACUGACGCUGAGGCACGAAAGCGUGGGGAGCAAACAGGAUUAGAUACCCUGGUAGUCCACGCUGUAAACGAUGAGUACUAGGUAUCUUGGGUUUCCCCC